UAACAGUCACCCUUUAAAUGGCCUUGUCUCCCACAGACUCGCUCGACUCCACUUUCUACUUCAUGCUUUGAAGAAAUAGAUUGGAGGACCGUCAGCCUUUGCUCCCAGCCCCUCCUGAGCGUUCGCCCUCACCCUCUCAGGACCCACACCUGAUGUCUUGCCUUGUGCUUUUCAUCAAUUUGAGGAAUAAGUGGCUGUUACCUUUCCCAGGGAAAUUAACCUUUAAUUGGAAUGCAAGCUUACGAUAGAGGAGUGUGGAAUCCUCAGCACUGGCCUGUGGGAGUGGACAUUUUCUAAAUGCCCAGCUCAGGAUAAGUGGCACCUUUGUGGGAGUUAGUCACCCAAGCACCUUGAGCACAAAGAUAGCCUCCAUCUUCAGAAUAGUUGCUCACAAAGACCUGAUGCUUCAUCUACGCUGGUGUCUGUGCUAUACGUUUUGUAUGGGUUAACUUGUUCUUACAGCAGUCCUAAGAGAGAGGCAUGAGUAUCCCCCUUUCUCAAACGGGGACACUGAGGCACAGAAAGGGUGUUGGUACAGGCUGCCCUAACAAAUGCCUUAGGCUAGGUGGUUUAACAGAAAUUUAUUCCUCAGUUUCAGAAGCUGAGAAAUCCAAGAUCAAGGUCCGGUAGAGUUCAGUUUCUGAUGAGAGGGCUUCCUUCCUAGCUUAAGAAUAUCUGCCUUCUCCCUGUGUCUUCCCAUGCCAGAGAGUUAUCUAGCUCUGGUCUCUCUUCAUCCUUUAUAAGGCCACUACUGCAAUGGGAUUAUAGUCACAACCUCUACCUCUUUAAGUCCUGUCUUCACCAUAGUCACAUGGGGGGAUAAGGGUCUCAAUGUAUGAGUUUUGCAGGAAUAUGAUUCUGUCUGGAGUACUCUGCUACUGGCCUCCUGCCCCCGAAAUUCAUGUCCUUGUUGCUUAUAAAAUCCAUUCAUUCCCCUCCAACAGCCCAAAGUCUUGUCUUAUUCCAGCAUCACCUCUAAUGGCUUAAUUCCAGAAUCUCAUUUAAAUAUCAUCUAAAUCAGUUAUGAGAUGUGAGGUAUGAGUCCUGUUCCAUGACAAAAUUCUUCUCCAGCUGUGAACCUGUAAAACCAGUCAAGUUAGCUGCUUCCAAAAUAUAGUGGUGGGACAGACACAGAUGGGCAUUCUCAUUCCAAAAGGGAGAAGUAGAAGGAUUGCUAUAUCUCAAGUGAGUUCAAAACCUAGCAAGGCAAAUUUCAUUUUAUCUUAAGUCUCAAGGACAAUCCUCUUUGGUUUGAUGUCCUGCCUUUUAGUCUCACUGGGGGGUGGGGAAGUAUCAUCCCUCUAAAGCAGGUAGAACCAGCCCUGUCCCUAGACUUGUGUAAGUGGCUGCCCUGGUUCUCUGAAUUGUAAGUGGGGUUAUUCUUCCCUUUCCUUGAAUAGUGCAUGUUUGAUAUGGUCCAGUCCUGUGGACUCUGAGGAGGUCAGCAGCCUUCCUUCACUCCACCCUACCUUCUCUGUCCCCUCUAGUUCUCACUGGUAGUGUGUUUGCUGGUAUAAUCCCCCCUCCAUUUCUUUUGUAGAGGUGGCUGACUAAGUCCAUGAGUUACACCCAUGGUUUCUUUAUAGAUGGCUGCUCAGUCGCAUCAUUGCUUCAUAAUAAACUCUCUCCUCCUUUUCUUCUCUCUUCCCCUCCCAUCUCCCUCCCUCUUCAAAAUGGAUAGGUUGACAAAGGCUGAAUGUUCUGAUAAGUGGGUGCUGAUUCAUAAUGCGGGGGGCAUGGGAAGAAUAGAGGAACUUUCUGACUGGGCGAGAGGAGGGGCCAUGUGGGCAGGAAAGAUGGUGGAAUGAGAUGGACAUCAUUACCCUAGGUACAUGUAUGACUGCACAUGGGGUGCGACUAUGUCGUGUACAACCAGAGAAAUGAAAAGUUGUGCUCCAGUUGUGUACAAUGAAUCGAAAUGCAUUCUGCUGUCAUAUUUUUUUUAAAAAUGUGUAGGUUGAGAAUUUCUAACUCUCCAAGUUCUGGUCCUUUUUGCUUUCAAUUCUUUAAUUCAUUUUUCUUCUCUCACAUUUUGUUAUAAGCAGUACCUUCUAUACUUUGCUUAGAAAUCUCCUCUGCUAGAUGUCCAGUUCUAUUACUUGCAGGUUCUAUCUUCUGCCAAACACUAGGAUACAAUUUGUCAAUUUAUAAAAAGGGUCCAUCUUUCCUUCAGUUUCCAGUAAACCAUUCCUCAUUUCCAUCUGAGAUUUAAUUAGAAUAGUCUUUAAAUUUUUUUUGUUAACAUGUAUUAAUUGUUCA
rnacentral:lncRNA from 1 species